rnacentral:rRNA from 1 species
GACGAACGCUGGCGGCGCGCCUAACACAUGCAAGUCGAACGAGCGAGAGAGAGCUUGCUUUCUCGAGCGAGUGGCGAACGGGUGAGUAACGCGUGAGGAACCUGCCUCAAAGAGGGGGACAACAGUUGGAAACGACUGCUAAUACCGCAUAAAGCCUAAGGGUGAAAGCAGCAAUGCGCUAUCAGAUGUGCCCAAACGGGAUUAGCUAGUAGGUGAGGUAAAGGCUCACCUAGGCGACGAUCUCUAGCUGGUCUGAGAGGAUGAUCAGCCACAUUGGGACUGAGACACGGCCCAGACUCCUACGGGAGGCAGCAGUAGGGAAUAUUGCACAAUGGAGGAAACUCUGAUGCAGCCAUGCCGCGUGUGUGAAGAAGGCCUUCGGGUUGUAAAGCACUUUCGGAGGGGAGGAAAAGAUGACGUUACCCUCAGAAGAAGCACCGGCUAACUCCGUG